UACAGAGGUCCCAAGCGUUGUUCGGAUUCACUGGGCGUAAAGGGUGCGUAGGCGGUCGGUUAAGUCUGAUGUGAAAUCCCACAGCUUAACUGUGAAACUGCAUUGGAUACUAUUCGGCUAGAGAGUUGGAGGGGGGACUGGAAUUCUUGGUGUAGCAGUGAAAUGCGUAGAUAUCAAGAGGAACACCAGUGGCGAAGGCGAGUCCCUGGACAACUGCUGACGCUGAGGCACGAAAGCUAGGGGAGCAAACAGG
rnacentral:rRNA from 1 species